rnacentral:rRNA from 1 species
AAUAUUGGACAAUGGGGGCAACACUGAUCCAGCCAUGCUGCGUGUGUGAAGAAGGUCUUCGGAUUGUAAAGCACUUUAAGUUGGGAGGAAGGGCUUUGGGUUAAUACCCUGAAGUUUUGAUGUUACCAUCAGAAUAAGCACCGGCUAACUCUGUGCCAGCAGCCGCGGUAAUACAGAGGGUGCAAGCGUCAAUCGGAAUUACUGGUGGUAGAGCGCGCGUAGGUGGUUCAGUAAGAUGGGUGUGAAAUCCCCGGGCUUAACCUGGGAACUGCUUUCAUAACUGCUGAGCUAGAGUACGGUAGAGGGUAGUGGAAUUUCCUGUGUAGCGGUGAAAUGCGUAGAUAUAGGAAGGAACACCAGUGGCGAAGGCGACUACCUGGACUGAUACUGACACUGAGGUGCGAAAGCGUGGGGAGCAAAC